ACCGGGUGACCGCCUAGUCGUGGCCGACAGCUCAUGACUAGACUGUUACUCGGCGU
rnacentral:pre_miRNA from 1 species